ACAACGGAGAGUUUGAUCCUGGCUCAGAACGAACGUUGGCGGCGUGGAUUAGGCAUGCAAGUCGAACGAGAAAGUUCCCUUCGGGGGAUGAGUAAAGUGGCGAACGGGAGAGUAACGCGUGGGAAACCUACCCUUCAGCGGGGGACAACAGUUCUAACGAACUGCUAAUACCGCAUACGAUCCGGCGACCGCAUGGUGGCCGGCUGAAAGAUGGCCUCUGCUUGCAAGCUGUCACUGAAGGAUGGUCCCGCGUCCCAUUAGCUAGUUGGCGGGGUAAUGGCCCACCAAGGCGACGAUGGGUAGCCGGCCUGAGAGGGUGUCCGGCCUCACUGGGACUGAGAUACGGCCCAGACUCCUACGGGAGGCAGCAGUCGAGAAGCUUCGGCAAUGGGCGAAAGCCUGACCGAGCGACGCCGCGUGAGCGAUGAAGGCCUUAGGGUCGUAAAGCUCUGUCAGGAGGGAAUAAAUACCCGCGGUUAAUACCCGCGGGGGUUGAAGGUACCUCCAGAGGAAGCGCCGGCUAACUACGUGCCAGCAGCCGCGGUAAUACGUAGGGCGCAAACGUUGUUCGGAUUCACUGGGUAUAAAGGGUUCGUAGGCGGGCCAGUUAGUCAGAGGUGAAAGCCAACGGCUC
rnacentral:rRNA from 1 species